rnacentral:rRNA from 1 species
AUUGAACGCUGGCGGCAUGCCUUACACAUGCAAGUCGAACGGCAGCGGGGGAGAAGCUUGCUUUUCCUGCCGGCGAGUGGCGAACGGGUGAGUAAUACAUCGGAACGUGCCCUGUAGUGGGGGAUAACUAGUCGAAAGAUUAGCUAAUACCGCAUACGACCUGAGGGUGAAAGUGGGGGACCGCAAGGCCUCAUGCUAUAGGAGCGGCCGAUGUCUGAUUAGGUAGUUGGUGGGGUAAAGGCCUACCAAGGCGACGAUCAGUAGCUGGUCUGAGAGGACGAUCAGCCACACUGUGACUGAGACACGGCCCAGACUCCUACUGGAGGCAGCAGUGGGGAAUUUUUGACAAUGGGCGAAAGCCUGAUCCAGCAAUGCCGCGUGUGUGAAGAAGGCCUUCGGGUUGUAAAGCACUUUUGUCCAGAAAGAAAUGGCUCUGGUUAAUACCUGGGGUCGAUGACGGUACCGGAAGAAUAAGGACCGGCUAACUACGUGCCAGCCGCCGCCGUAA